AAUCAAAAAGAAAGAAAUCAGAAAGAAAGAAAGAAAGAAAAAGAGAAAGGGAGAAGAGAAACGGGAAAUCAGAGAAGUGGAGAUGGGAAGAGGAAGGACGGCGCCGACGGACAUCAGUGCCGCCACGCCGUCGUGUUGCCGCCGAAGGAGAGGAAGCUGCGGACCAUGGUCACGGGUGAAAGAGAGAGCGCAAGCCAGGGCACGCGAGACGGAGCUGCCACUGCUGGGUCGCCGUCCAGCCUCGCCCCACCAUCCAGCCUCGUCCCACCGUGUCUCGUGAUCACCGCCGUCGCGCCCGGUCACCCUUCGAGCUCGCCAUCAAAGACGUUGCGUCUCUAUCACGCAAGAGGAGCGUGACCCACUGCGCGGAGCUGUGCCGCCAUGCAUCUCUACUGCCGUCACUGACCGGCCAUGCCAUUUCGCCAUGGUCGCCACCGUGGGUUUUGGCUGCUGGUGAGAAUAGUGGAGCAGUCACCACCGCAGGAGGAGUUUCGCGCGUCACUGUGAGCUGCGAACCACUGACCGAGAAGAAGCUCCACCCUCGUUACCGCGCUGAAGUCGUCGCCGCCAGCACCGUGCACCACCGUUGCCGCUGCCGUUGAAGGAAGCUUGCCGUCACAAUUCAGUUGCCAUCGAGCCUGAAGGGGAACACCAUUGAUACCACCCGACAGCAGCUCCCCUGCGUUCCCAAACUCCAUUCUUGGAACAUUGUUGCUGGUUUAUCAUUCGAAAAUGGCAUAAUUGAUGCUGAGACCGUUGUUGUUCUUGCUCUGAGAGAUCUGAUGCCACAAUUGCUGCCGGGUCAAUUUGGAAUUUCGGUUGCUUCGUUUUGUUAAUUCGAGUUGCUAUGGUUAUUGCAAAAGUGGCUAGGAGUUGAGGUCUUAGUUGCCGUCAGUUCAGGUUGAGGCGAAAAGGACUCUGUGACGCGUUUGGGUUAUAGAUUUGCGUUUUGAGGGCGCAAAUACCCUCUAAUGAUAAUAAUGCGCAACGGAGAGACUGUGUCCGAGUUAGCUACCAGACACGUUGGGUUGGCUUGGUAACCGACAGAUGAUAUCAUCAGCCACUAGGACAGGCAUGCAUCAUAUGCAUCUAUGUGACAUUGUUUGGGUGUGCAUAUUGUACGUGGUUCAACUUUGUGAUUAACUGCUAAAUGUUCUACUUGCUGUAACUGUUUGUUUGUGCUUGAACUUCCUAUCUGUGUUUGCAUCUGGGACUCUGUUGGAUUGUGGUUAUUGGUUGAUGGUUGGAUUGUUUUGGCCUAGGGCCGUGGUUGAAAUGAGAUGGACCGAGAUUAGUUUCGGUUUUGUAUUUUUGGUUUGGAAAAGUAUGAAAUGCUAAUUUGGUUCAGCAUGGUUAAACCUUUUUGAAAGACUUUUGAGUUUUCGAGAAUUGAACGGUUCCUCUUUCAAAAAAGAUUUCCGAUUUCUCUUUUAUUGUAAACCGUUGUUUUUUAAAAGAGGCAUAAGUCGGUUAUUAAUCACUGGUAUGAUUUAUCUUCACCUAUCCUAUUACAGUAAUUCCCAAAAAUUCUCUACUGAGAACCCUCUCGAGGAUGAUGUUCUCACCCCCCUACAUUUUUCCUGUUUCAGGAUAUGGGUGCUGAAGUCACGAAGAGUUUAUUUAGUUAUUGCUGUGAUGCUCUGUAUUGCUUUAGAUUAUCAUUUAUUGUACCCUCAUCUUUAUCUUGAAAUAUUCUGUAAGAGGGUUAGGAAUUGUAUUGGAUAAUGUUUGUAAUAUUAUUUAUAUAUAUGUAUGUAUAUAUAUGGAUGUACUCUUUAUGAGUUUCUGUAAGUUGUAUGGUAUGUAUGGACGUACGUUGUAUAGCAAAAGUAUUUUUGGGAGCGGUUUUGCGGUUUAAAGUUUUAAACAGGCUCAUAUUUUAGUAUUAAAUAGUAUAAGUGUCGUCGUAAUGUCUGAGCUAUCAGAGUCGCGCAGCCGGAAGCGUGAGCUUUGGUAGUUAGGGUGUUACAAAUUUCUCUAAUAAACAAUAAAUAAUUUAAACCCACUAAAAAAUAACUCAACACUUUUUUUGAUACCUGCAAAACA